AGGUUUUUGGAAUGAUAAAGUCGUUGAGGUACUUGGACAAGAUGGAUGCAGAGGAGAAUGAAAGGCCGGAGUCGGAUGAUGAAUCGGACGAUGAUGAAUCUGACGAUGAGGAUGAUCCAGGAAGUGGAGAAAUUGACGGUGAGGAUCGACCCUUUGGGAGGGAUAAUGGACACAGUGAGAAUGUUGAAGGGGUUGUGGAUGUGGACGAGGAGGAAGAGAGUGAUGCGGAUGAAGAAGAGGUGGAGACAGCUGCUGGAGCAGCAGGACCCGCUGCCGAGGGGAUAAAUGGCCAUCAGAGCAAUGGGUAUGCGGUAGAAGAUGAUGACGAGGAUGAUGAUGAGGAUGAUGUUUAUGAGGAAGAGGAUGUGGUGGAAGUUCAUGGGGUUGGUGGGGACAGCGAUGAUGAGGAGGAUGGGGUUGAGGACGAGGAUGAUGAUGGCGAUGAUGAUGACGAUGAGGACGAAGAAGAGGUUGAUAAUGAGGAUAGAGAUGGGGAGUUUGGGGAGCCAGAGAGUACGGGGAGGUUGACCAGCACAGAAGGUGAGAUUGAUGGUCAUGAACAAGGGGAGGAAGAUGGGGAUGAUGAUGGUGAGACUGGGGAGGAAGAGCAGGUUGUUGAGGAUGAUAGAGAGUUUGAAGUUGAGGAUGAAGAUGAUGCUGAAGAGGAGGUGAGAAAUGAGAACGCAGUUUCUUAUCUUUUAUGUUGUGGUAUCAUAGAAUUUUGCAUUUUCCUAUCUUUUAUGUAUGUGCCUCUUGUUGCUGGAUUAAUGGUUUGUUUGCUGUUGUGUUUUCAGAUAAGAAGAGGACUUGACUGCUCUUAAAUUCCUUUUUCUGCUGUUAUUUCUGAUUUUUGUGCAUUGUUUUGGGUUGUACACUUUUGUCGAGAUUUUAAUUAUCUGGAUCUGGUAGACAUAUUAGGUGUUUUUUUCUGUUGUUGUUGGGGGGGGGGGGUUGUUUCGAGCAGUUGUUAUGGUUUAACAGUACUACCGAUCUCAAAUGCACUUUUACAUCAUGGAUAUUCUGUGUUAGUAUCUUUUUGCUGGUUUGCAUACUUUCUGAGUAAUUGAUGUUCUCUCCUUUCGUCCUAUCUACUUCGUGUUAAAAGGAGCUGCCUCAGAUUGUUGAGUUUUUUUUUCAUCAUCUCAAUUAUUCUUAUAAUAUUUUUAUUAUGAGAAAUGAAGGUUUUUUAGUUUGUGAAAUUAAUUUUAGGAAAUGAAGUUUGAAAAUUGUUCAAAUUACACCAUGCUCUUAAAUGAAAUAUCAUUUAGAUAUUGACAUGUUCUUGAGACUGGUUGUUUUCUCAAAAAUGCUUAAGAAAAACCCUGACUGGCAUUUGGUUCUGUGAAUAAGAUUAUUUGCAGUUUCAAUUUUGGUCUUCCUAUAUGUCUCCUUUAAAUGGUAAUCUUAAGUAUUUAUGUUCAUGAGACAUUAUAGUGCUGUUUUGUAUUUUCCUUUCAUUCAGCUGUAUUAUGUUUGUGAAUUUGCUUUUUGGUGUUUUGGUUGUUAAAAUGUAGUGAAGCCAUCAGUAAAGCAAGAUUCCACUGCCAUCUACGGUGCUUAUUUUCUGUUUUAUCUAUGGAUCUUUAUGAAAUAUUUGUUUGUUGAUGAUCUCUAAAAGAUUGGCCUAUUGUAAAUAGUCUAUGCAUGUUGAUGAUUACAUGGUGCAGGAUUGUUUGGGAGUGAUGUGCAUGGACAUAGUCUGAUUGGCUAUUUUGCUUUAAUUUUAAGACUGUCUAAUGUGUGCAGGAUUCUCUGGGAGUGAUGUGCAUGGACAUAGUCUGAUUGGCUAUUUUGCUUUAAUUUUUAGACUGUCUAAUACUAUUUCUAAGCAUUUUUUCACCAUUAUUUUUGUAGGGUUUUUCUUUUAUUUUGUGUUUUGGAAGUAUUUAUAUAAUUCUUUUAGCAUUCAGACCUUGCUUUCUUUACAUAUCAAAAUUUCUGGUACCCUGUUUUCUGUACUAACCCUCAGAGGCUUGAUGGAAUUGGCAGGAUGAAGACUGCGGCACAGGGUAUUUAGUUCAGCCAGUUGGGCAGGCUGAGGAACAUGAUGGCAGUGAUAUGGAGCCUGGUAAUGAAGAUGAUGCUGAAGAUGAGGAAGAAGUUGAAGAUGAUGAUGAAGUCCAGGAUCUGCCACCAUCUUCUUCUUCUUUACACCCCAAGAGAAAGAGAGAUGAUAGUGCUGAUGAAGAUGAGAAUGGGGAGGAUGAUGAGGAAGAUGAUGAUGUUGUUGAGUUCAGCAAGUCAUCUUCAAAGAAGCACCAUUAGCCUCUUACAAUCUAAUCUCACGGGUUAAAUAUUUUUGUUAAAAUGUCUUCUUGAACAAGCAUGGGAACAACACCAGAAACUGUCAUGUUUUUGAAAGAUUUGUUUGUAGUCUCGUAGUAGUGACUAUGGAUACAUGCUUCUUUGGGGAGAGAGAUUGUAUCUUGGGGGUGGCACAUGUUAGUUCAAAAGGUUGUUAGUGUUAAAUUCCCGCUUGCCUCUUUUAUAUAGCCGUUACAAUGUUAAAUUCAAAUGGCAGUUGUGUAGGAUUAACCGCCCAUGAAGGUAGAAGUUUUGUUCCAAAAGGGAGGGAGGCUCUAAAUGGAGGGAAAGUGUACUCUUUUAAAAUCUUUGUUUUUUAUUUCGUUCCUCGAAAGCGGUUUUAGAAGGGUUUUGUAUUUAUUAAAAAAAAAAGGGAAAAAAACAUGUGUAGAUAGAAAGUUUCAUCAGCCGAUCAGCGCAUCCGGCUCUAUUAUAUUCAAUCAAAUGGGCAGACUGGCUGCUUUUGUUCAAUUGACUCGUUCGGGCUCGCUCUUUCUUUUUUUUCUUUUUUUUUCCACUUUUUUUUCUUUAAUGGAUUAUAUAAUUGGCAAGUUUUCAUUGGUCUUUCAGAUUGCUCCAUUUAUGAAUGAACAUGAGCAGAAUGUAGGACAGAUGGCAAUCGGAUUUGAGGCUGAAAACAGAGUAAGCACCGGGUUGCAGCUUUAGCUGGUCCCCGAAUUGUUUAAAAGCUAGAUCUCCUGAUUGGAGGGAGUGGGACAAUGAUCGAACCAAGCUAAGCAAAUAUAAUCCAUUGGAUCAACGGCCAUGAUCACGGAAUUUAUCCUUGUUGCCUUUUUGGGUUAAAAACUUGCCUUUUUGAAAGUUGGGCUGGGGAGUUACGAAGCAAGUGUAGAAGCAGGGAUGUUGUAAUUCUCAUUAAGGUGAGUAGGUAAUAGUUGGACUCGAUUGACGGGCUGCAGGCCUGUGAGUAUGAGCCCAAAGCCCACUUUCGUAUUUUAUGAAUAGAGGUCCACACAUGACAUGUGAGCUACGGUCAGAACUCAGAAGUUCAAUUGUAAAUGACUAAAUUCCAACAUUUGGAUGAGUAUUAUUACUUUCUAGCCUACUCUAUGGGCUACUUCAAAUUUGAUAAUUUGUUUUUCUUUUGGCCAUCCAUUCAUCUCCAACUCUUAAGAGUUAAGAUAAUUAUUUUUUCUUCUUAAGUUUUUCCAAGCAGAGGAUGAAAAUUUACUUUUUAAAGUUAAUAAGAGUAUUGUAGUUUUUGUUAAGAAAAUGAAAUUGAAAAACUAUAAAAACAUAUGUAUCUAAUCAAUUAAUAUCUAAAUUUAAGAAGUAACAAUAGUCAACAUGCAAAUUUUAUGUAAUAAAAAUAUUUUCUCUUUCUAAUUUGAAUGUGUUAGAAAUUAAAUAAGUUUCUGGUUUUUUUUUAUUAAUUUAAAAUUUAUGUUGUUAGCCUUUAGUUCUUUAUUUUACAUAUAAAGCAACAGGACAUGUGCCAUGAUUUUUUUAAGGCCUCGUAAUCCUACCAAUGAGAUUAUGACAUAUGUUCACCCAUCCAAUAAGUCCUCAGUCGUAGAGAGAGAGAGAGAGAGAGUUGUACUUUAUUAAUAAUUUUUAAGAAUAUAAGAAUUCAGCCUUACGAUUUUGUCACAAAAGGAGGAUAACGCACUAAGAAGUCGCACCAGCACCAUAACCCAUAAAAUUGACAUGGUAGCUUCGAAGAUGUUUUUGGUAGCAUCGCCACCAUGUCCCGUAACUUCACUAGUACCAUCACAACAACAGAAAACCUCCAACCCCACAUGCAGGAGGAUCAGGAAAACCAAACCUCGCUCCCUACUCAUCAGGCUCAAGGUUCUGAGCAUGGCAAAAGAGAGCAGUGACGGCCUCGCAGAAAAAGCAGCAAUAGCCGGUGGUUUGGUCUCAACCCCAGUGAUCGCCUGGUCUCUUUACACACUCAAGACUACUGGCUGCGGUCUCCCCCCCGGGCCUGGUGGCUCCAUUGGUGCACUCGAGGGCCUCAGCUACCUAGCCGUUGUGGGAAUUGUUGGUUGGUCUUUGUAUACAAAAUCUCAAACUGGCUCUGGUCUGCCUAGUGGACCUUAUGGUCUAUUGGGUGCUGUUGAGGGUUUUUCCUACUUAACUUUGCUUGUCAUUUUUGUUGUUUUCGGUUUACAGUUUUUUCAGCAGGGAUCACUUCCAGGGCCUCUCCCAAGUGAUCAAUGUUUUGGUUAAGAUUUGCUACGCUGUGGGGCAUGGGCCGCAACACAAUACAAUCCUAUCUUCUGUCUGUGACUCUGUGGCCAUGGUUCAAUUCCAUUUUCAAAUGGAUUUAAUGCGUGCAUUUUGCCCUGUGUAAUUGGUAAUUACUCACAUUUUCAUAUUGUGGAGGAGUAGAUGUUUCCUUAUUAAAUUAAUUCAACUUCAUAUUGUUUUUCAAGGUAUGUUAGUUGUAGCUUCAUUUUGUUAAAGAUGCGUCGUGACCCAUAAUUCUAAUGUAUUUUGAUUAACAUUUAACGGCUAUUAUUUUGAAGCUACAAUAAUUUUAUCCAACGCUUGUUGAUUAAAAUUAUUAAACAUCGACUUUAUUAAUGAAUUAUAUUGGACAUAUAUUAUAUUAGACUCUGACUCUUCCAUGAAGCAUCAUACCUCAUAUCUUACGCACCAUCAAAUGAUAAGAAUUUUAUUGAUUUUUAUUAACCUUACAAUCAUCUAACGCUGUAUGAAUUGCUAAAUAUAGUACUUUAAAGGUGACAUUGCUAGACUCAUUAAAUUAUAUUUUAAAUUGAAUUAAUUUAUACAUUUUUCUAGACCAAGUCUAGGCCCGUACUAGUUGCUCGCGUCCAAGUCAAGCGAAAAAGUAUACACCCAAGUACUUACUGUAUUUAAAAUAAAACUCAAACCAGAAAAAUCCCAAUUUCAUUAUUUCACAUUUCAUUUUUUUCACACAAUUCCUUUGACUGUUUGACCAUCGACCCAGUUAUUUGGUGGUGUUUGUAGAAGUGUCAAAAGAUAAAUUUUGCACUCCAAAGACACUAUAAGAAGAGAAAUUUGCUGCUUGCAUAAUUUAUGUUUGUAAAUGCACCAAAGAAAAGAUUAAAAAAAUAAAAAAAAAAACAGAAGGGAAGUUGAAUUAAUGCUGGCAAAAUGAGUCAUGAUAUGAUUUCAUGACACGAAUAUAAUACCGCUUUAAAUUAUAUUGACAAAUAUUAAUACGAUUAAUAAAUAUUAUAAAUGAUUGUGUCAUAUUAAUGUUCGAUCACUUUAAUAUGAUUACGCAUUUAUGACACGAAUAUCAAUUAAUAUAUGAUAAUAUUAUUAAAAAAAAUUAAUAUGAACGAUAAAUUAAGUAGUCAUGUUAAAACUAUAUUAUGUUAUAAAAUUAUUUAUUUCGUAUUUAUAUCAUGUUAGCUUAUUUAUGAUUGUUUUUAACAAUUGAUUGACAUAUUUCUCAUGCUUUAAACUUAUUUUUAUUUUUUCGUAUUAAAUAUAUUCAAUGAAUCAACAUAAUUAAUAAAUAGAUUGUAUCUGUAUUUUGAUAUUUUGAAAUUAUUAAUAAAUGAGUUGUAUCUAUAUUUGCUUAAAUUUGACACAAUACAAUUAAGAUACAAUAACUCAAUAUUGAAUUUAAGGUCAAUCAAGUCAAAGGACUUGUUCGAGAAAAAUUAAAAACUAUAGGGAUUUAGGUGAUCAAAUUACGAAACUUCUUAUUUUUAUGAGUUUUUGGACAAACGAUAGGGGUGAUUUGGUGUAAGAGACCCCUUUUAGCAUAUAAGACCUAAAACGAAUCAAAUUGCCUUCUGCCAUCGCUCAACUCUCGAGUCCAUAGCUGUCAUGGCCAGUAAGGUAUGACUUUUUAACUCAAUCAUCAGUCUUUAAUUGCGAUUAAUCCUUGAUUCUUUGGUAAUCUUUUUCUUAAUAGCGAUUAUUUUCAUCUAAGCGCAGUGAUUAGUGUCUGCUACUGCCCGUUUAGUUGAUCUUUGUAUCUGUGGUCAUUCAUCUACAUGGAUUGUUUAGUUGCUAAGAAAAAUAGAGGAAAAGUAAAGAAAACAAGUUUAAAAAACAGAAGCGCUAAAUUGAAUAUUUGCAUUUUCGGCUCUCUCCAGCUGGUUUGUUAGUUUGAUUAUCAACACAAAAUUAUUGUUCUGUUAAAUUGAUCGUGACAGAUUUAUGUAGCUUUUUGUUUGUUAAUGGGAAACUAGAGGAAAAGAAGAGAAGACAAAAAAAAAAAAAGAAGAAGAACAGUUGUGGAGUAAAAGUAUUUCAAUCAGUGUGGGUUUGGGAUGGAUAAUGGUCAAUGGACUCUAAGAGUAAAAAACAGUCUCAUUGUUUAUGAAUGAUUGAAUUUGCUAGCUUUGUACCUAAGGAACAGAGCCCUACCGCUAUUAUUUGAUCGAUGUGAACUGAGUUAAUUGUUAAAAUUGUGUUUCUUUUUGUUGAAAAGAAACGGAUAGAGGGAGAAGAUUUGGCAAGAGAGCUGAAAAGAAAAAACAGAAGUUAUAAAAAAGAAUAAAACUGAAAUAUCACGAUGUUCAUUAGACGAAAGGAUUGUGGAUGGAUACUGUACAAAAAUGUUUCUUGCAAAUGGAAAUAUAUGUUUAUGAAUUAUUGAAGACUGAGUAUUGACAGGCACUUAGGAGUGCCUGUUUGGAGAACUUGUUGACGCCUUUUCAACUCUAAACCAAAAUUUGUUUUAAGUUGUUCGACUCAUUUGAAUUGGAGUAUUGUUGUCUGUAAAUGUUAAUUAUGAGUAAUUCUGUUCUUUCUUUAAGUUCACUAUUGCAAUGUUCUAUUUGUCAACCCUAUCAACUUGGCCAAAAAUGCUGAUAAAGAUCUCAUUUCAAAUUGAUCUAUGAAAUAGUUAUCACCUUGAUACAAGUGCAGUUGUGGUCUUUCAAGUACAUUACUGUUUGUGAAAUGUGGGAAAAAUGUUAAAGUUGCACUAAUUUGGAAAUACCAGAAUGAAGCAUUGGUUUGGUUAUUUCACUAAAAGUUUAUAGUGAAUCAUUUGAAUUGAAGUAAAGAACUAAAAUCCACAACUAUGACAUGUAUCCUGAAUUAUUUUCCAUCUUUUAAGAGUUCAGAUGAACCAGGAAAUAUUUCCCUUUUCAAUAUCUAUUCAUAUCCGUAGCAGGCUUGCUGAUUAACUUUGAGUUUGGUCGCAGAUAAAUAUGGAUAAGGGGAAGAAUGCAACUGUGUUUAUGAAAAGCAGCAAUAACAAGAUCUACAUGGAACUCAAGGAUAUUAUAAGGGAGCAUGCCCUUCAAUUCCUUCCUGCUAAGUCACUUCUCAGGUGCAGAGGCGUUUGUCGUGACUGGAAGUACUUGAUUGCGACCCCAUUCUUUGUCCACAACCAGUCUUAUUCCUUCCGUAAUUUGUCAGGCUUCUUUUCCCAGUCAUCCACCAGCGAACCAUCAUUUAUUUCCCUCAACCCAAUAGCCUAUGGUGUUCCAGAUCCAUCUUUGAGUUUUUUGCCUGAACCAGUUGACAUUAGGAGCUCCUCCAAUGGACUACUUUGCUGCCAGGGUCACAGUGGAUACAAUCCUUACUACAUCUGCAAUCCUGCUACCAAACAUUGGCAUAAGCUUCCUAAACCCAAUAAUGAUCAUGGCUCUGAUCCUGCUGUCGUGCUUAUCUUUGAACCCUCAAUAUUGAACUUUGCAGCUGAAUACAAACUGGUUUGUGCCUUUCCAUCUGAACUUGAUGGAUACGAAUUUGAGAUUUAUUCCUCCUGCGACAAAUCCUGGAAAACUUCGGGGGAGAUUUUCCUCGGCAAUUUAAAAAUCCUGCCACGAUCAGGUGUUUAUACGAAUGGGAUUGUUUAUUGGGCUGGAAGGAAUAAUAGAAUUCUUGCUUUUGAUCUGUCAGCAGAGCGGUCACAGAUCCACAAUGGCCACGGGACCUUGGGUGUGAUGGAUGGGAAGUUUUGUACAGCCAGUAUACUCCGUCAAAAUCUGUCUGUGCAAUUGCUGUCUAAUGCCUACGCUAAUACAAUGCAGAUGUAUAGUAACAUCAAGGCUUGGGAAUCACAUCUGUUCACUUUAGAUAGAUCUGUUUUUGCUGAAGGUUAUCCUGAGGAGGUAUCACUGCUUGUGAAUGAUACUGUGAUCCUACGCAAAGGGAAAGCACUUUAUUCGUACAACCUGAAGACAAAAGAAACUAAACACUUGGGAAAUGAAUCUGACGAUGGUAAAAGGAGGGUUGUGCCUUACGUGAAUAGUCUUGUUGAUAUUUAGGUACCUUCUCUCUGCUUAUAGACUGAUAAGUCAAGAGCGAGAAAUCAGGUCCUUGUGUUUUGGGUCCCAUGUAGAAUGUGAAUUCAUUGGGUUUGUCCUUAGCAGAGCUUUUAUGCAUGCAGGUACAUACCUCCGUGAUUCACUAAUUGCAUAUGUUUUACUCAUUCUAAUACAAAGUGUAAAAGAUUCUAUGGUUUUGAGUUUUAUAUUUGUGCAUGGAUAAUUGGUGUCCUUAUUUUUAUGUCAAUAUGGUUAUGAUUAUGAUUUGAACUGUGCUUUUAAGCUGUGCCUAUGGAGGGUCAUACAAUUUAUGAUUAGCAGUAGGUAAUGCAUAUUUAUUGAUUGAAUAUCCUGUGCUCAAAUAGGUCCUUCACGGAGAACUUGCGAAGAAUUUUGUGAUGAGGAAAGCCUAAAUCAAUUUUUAACCCUCUUCCUCUUCUAGAAUUUGAACUAUGGUGGUUAGUUAGAUAAAGUUGUUUGAAAACCAUUGCGCUACAUCCUGGAUCAGUUUUAUUUUGAUAUGGAAUUGCAUGUAUUGUUAAUUGUUUUUAAUUCAAUUCAAUUUUAAUUAAAAAUGGGAUCAAAUAGAUAUUAAUCAGAUGUUAUUUGUUAAAAUUUGGGUUCUGUUCAAUUCAAUCAAGAAAAAAGGGUGGUUUCAUAAAUAAGCGUUUAUUAUUAUUUUUUUUUUGAAAUGGAAUAAUUUUCAUUAAACAAAAGGAUUACAGAUUAUUCAAUAACCAUAGAGGUGGAAUGAUGUUCCACUCCUGGGGACCUGACAAAGAACUUGCUGCUCGUGCCACAGAGUGAGCAGCAAAGUUCGCAGACCGACGCACAAACGAGAAUUGCACUUCUCCUAUAGAAUUAACAAGAGCCCGACAAUCUUCGAUAAUUAGACCAAACCCAUUUAGACCUGCAACCUCCUCGGCCAAAGCUCGAAACACUUGUAAACAGUCCAUUUCUAUAAUAACACAAGGAAACUGCAUUUCUUUAAUCCAGCUGAGAGCUUCUCGAAUCCCAAGUGCUUCUGCCUCUUGUGCUCCAAAGCUUCCUGUCAUUCCAGCACUCCGAGCUGCCAAAAAACAACCUUCCGAAUUGCGGAUCACACAACCAAACCCAAUCCUUCCCUGAGAAGCAAAAACAGCCGCAUCCACAUUGCACUUAACCUAUCCAAACUUAGGCUUCUCCCAACACAAUGCCCCAUGAACCAGCCCGUGACCCUCAUCAUUCACAUCAUAUAAUUGCUUCUUUACUGCCUGCCACUGAUAAAGUAGAUGUCCAGCUGAAUUAAGCACCUGGUGAACUGAGCAAGACUUGUUAUUCCAUACUCUGUUAUUGCGAUUUAUCCAAAUUCUCCAGCAAAGCAUUACUGCAACAUUACACUCAUCAUUAUCACAACGCGUAAAGAUGUGAUCCAACCACCCCAAGAAAGAAGAACAGUGGCCCACAAAGCCCACAGGGGAAGAGAUCCAGCAAGACUUAGCGAAACUACACUCAAUCAAAGCAUGUGUAACCGUCUCCUCAUGAGCAUUACAUACAGCACAAGUAGAGGGAAUAUCUACCCUCUUGGAUGUCAAAUUAGUGGCAUUAGGCAAUACAUUGGUCGCAGCUCGCCAGAUGAAAUUCUUAACUUUGUUUGGCACUUUCAAUUUCCACAGCUUUCGCCAUACGCUCGCAAAGGGAUCAGGGGAAGUAGAAGUUAACAUUUUAUAACAGCUACGAACCGAAUAGCAACCUCGAGAGUCAGCCAACCAAUACCACACAUCUUCAUCUUGGCAGGAACUAAGAGGAAUCUGCAGGAUUAAAUCUUUGUCUCUUGAGUUGAAAAUGUCCGAAAUCGCAUCAUAAUCCCAUACUCGUUGGUUUGUCAGCAUUAAACUACUAACUGAUUCUGCAGCAAGCUCCUCAUGAAGAUUAGAAGAAAUAAAACCAUCCAUGAGAUCUGGCAGCCAAGGAGUCUUGCUGAUGGAGAUCGUUGUUCCAUUGCCAACCUGCACUCUACUCCCUUGACUCACCACAUCUUUUGCAGCCAAAAUAGAACGCCACACAUAGCUGGGGUUGUGGCCCAAAGAAGUUUGAAAGACAGACUUUCGUGGAUAAUAUCGAGCUUUGAGGAUUUUGGCCAUAAGAGAAUCAGGGCGUGUGAGUAUUCUCCACAGCUGUUUUCCUAGAAUCGCAAUGUUGAAUAGGUGAAGCUGUUUAAAUCCAAGGCCACCGCAUCCUUUAGGUUUACACAUAUAUUCCCAUUUAGCCCAAUUAAUCCCUUUUCUUCCACUGUGAUUACUCCGCCACCAGAAGGAGUUCAUCAUCACUUCUAAUUCUCUACACAACUCUUUGGGUAGCAAGUAUAUACUCAUAGCAUAAUUAGGCAUAGCAAGAGCCACUGUCUUUAACAAAAUCUCUUUGCCAGCCCGAGAAAGCAUCCGCGAACUCCACCCUUGAAGCCUUUGCCAGAGCUUAUCCCGAAUAUAGCUGAAGACUUCCUUCUUUUUUCUGCUGAUAUAGGAUGGCAAGCCAAGAUAAGUUCCAUGAUUAGUGGUAUCCGUAACCAUAAGAACAUCACAGACUUGCCGUAUUACCCCAUCCAACACAUUGGCACUAAAGGAAAUUGAAGACUUAUUGAAGUUAACCACUUGGCCAGAGGCUCGACCAUACACAGCCAACAAUUGCUUUAUUAAGGAUGCUUCGUUGAUAUUUGCUCGAAAGAAAAGGAAGCUAUCAUCUGCAAAAAACAGAUGAGAGAUUGCCGGGGCCCCUCUCGCAACUGUGACUCCAUGAAGCAAACCUUCUCUUUCUUUUCUUCGAAUUAAAGAGCUUAAUCCUUCCGCACAGAUGAUAAAUAAAUACGGGGAUAGAGGAUCCCCUUGACGAAGACCUCGGUAAGGAAUAAUCGGCCCAAUCACCUUACCCUCACGAAGUACAUUAUAUUGGACAGUAGACACACAUAACAUGAUUAAGUCUACCCACCUCGCAUCAAAUCCCAUCUUGAGCAUCAUAGCUUGAAGACAACCCCACUCAAUCCUAUCAUAUGCCUUAGACAUAUCAAUUUUCAAAGCAGCCACUCCAUUUUUUCCUUGCCUCUUUCGCUUUAAGAAAUGCAUGAUUUCAGCGGAAAUGAUGACGUUGUCAGUGAUGGCUCGACCUGGAAUAAAGGCGCUUUGAGAAUCUGAAAUAAUCAAAUCAAGGACUAAUUUCAUGCGGUUAGCUAGCAUUUUAGAAAUAAUUUUAUACAGCACAUUGCAUAAAGCAAUUGGUCUCAUAUCCGAUAAACAUUCAGGUCUUUGCUUCUUGGGAAUUAGAACAAUGGAAGUAUCAUUAGCCCAUUCGGAAAGGAACCGUCCUUAAUAAAAUUUAGACAAGCCAUAACUACAUCCUCACCAACAAUGUGCCAGAACUUUUGGUAGAACGCAAGAUUCAUCCCGUCGGGCCCUGGUGACUUAUCCGGAUGCAUACUGAAAACCACCUCCUUAACUUCAAUGGCAGAAAAAGGGGCUAAAAGCAUAGAGUUAUGCUCACUAGUAAUUCUUUUAUCCACAUACUGAGUUACUUCGGCAGUAUGGCAUCCAUCAGAAGUAAAUAAGUUUUUAAAGUAAUCAAUUAUUAAAACAUCUACCUCUUCAGAAUUGGAGCACCAUUCUCCUUGAUUGUUGCGAAGGGACCCAAAGGAGUUCUGCCUUUUCCGCGCUGAGGCCAAUAAGCGUUUAUUAUUGAAUCACUAUUAGUUAUGCUAAAAAUUUCCAAGAAUUUCCAACUAUUUAAAACAUAUGGAGAUUGAUAUUUGUGUGCUAAGGUGUCAGUAAAUUGGCAAGAACUUACCAAUGGGCCUUUGGUCCAAUGGGAGAAGCCUUGCACUUACAAUGUUGAGUGCAAGGGUUCGAGCCUCCAUAAGAGCAUUAUGGAGGUUAGUUUCAGUUCUUCCUCAAUUAUUAAUUAAUUGAGUGGAGACAGUCUCUCCCUUACGAAAUGUGAGUGGAGCAGGCACCCCUCGAAUAUUAGAGAGGGUUUAAAAUAUCUGGGCAUAUACUUCAGUGUGUCAAUGUAUGGUGGUGGUCCCAGUUAUAUAGUAUGAUUGUAAAUAUUAAUUGUAAUGUUUGAUGUAAUGUCAGUAAUAUCUGUGUAUAACAGACUUCAAAAAAAAAAAAAAUUGGCAAGAACUUGACUUCGCAUGUCAUAAGCGUUGUGCGUGUAAUUUAAAAGCGCGUAAGCAUUACAGAAAAUUUACGUCAAACAGAUAAGACUAUUUUCAAACUAAAAAAAUUAAAAAUAAUUAUAGUUUUUUGGAGGGCCAAGACUUUUUUCUUUUGUUGACUUUGAUUUAAAAAAUUAUCUUUUAUUGACUAAUACUAACUAAAAAAAAUAAAAAUGAGGAGUUAAGAUUUUCUCAUAAUCUGAUAUUUUAUUGAGUAAAAUUAUACAUGAGUGAUUGAUAGUUAAUAAAUAAAAAAAUAAAAAAUAAUAUUAUAUUAUUAUUUAAAUACACAUAAUACAAAAUCAUUAAAAACUCAUGAAAAUUUAUAUCAGGAGAGGAUUUUUCCCUUAAAAGCGUGCGUGUGAUUGGUUCUUUUAAAAAACCGAAGGGACAGCUCUCCGUGGGAAGAUUAUACACCAACAGAUUCAUUUGAAAUUUAUCCGUCUAACGAACGAUUGAUUGAUGGUGCAUACUGCAUACGAAUAAAGUCAUAGGACUGGAGGGUAUAAAGUCUUCACUCCUCGCGAUUAUCAAUUUUUGGUCAAGUCUGCUGUUACCGUAAUUCUCGGGUCACGACUCGAAGAAAUUUAAUUUAUAUUUUAAAUUAUAUGUCACUAAUUAAUAAUUUUCGUGUAUUAAAUAAUAAUUACAUAUUUUUUUAUGUAGCUUGGUCAUUUAUGUUAUUUGUAUUUUUUUUUUCUAACUAAACGAAUAGAGGAGAAAAAAGAAAAAAGGACGAAGUUAUUUUUAUUUGCGAAAAUAAUUUUUUAAUGUCCGAUUACUGAGAAAACAUGGAGGAUCACAAAAGAAUAACAGGGCAACUAAAAAAGGAUUUUUUUGCGACAUUCCACACUUCAUCUGGUGCCUUGUACGCCAAGUAAUCUUUGAAUGGCCCCUUUUCUUAUAAUUCUGUUUGCUGUAGUUUGUGCUAACUAAUCUCUAAUUGAAUUAAGCUGCUGGUCUGAUCUAAAGACAAAAGGUGCCACAACAAGGAUAUAGAGUUAUCAUUCUACAUCUUGUAUGGGGUUGCUUUUUGUUCUUUUCUUUAAUUCAUUAUUGUUAUCUUCUAAAUGAAAGCCUUUUGGAUUAAACUUUGUUCCUCAAUCAAGCAGGAAUAGAAUCUUGAAGUUGUUGUGGUGUUGAUUUGAGUUUCUACCACGCUUCCGGUCAUUAAAGUUUGCAGGGUUUUCUUUGGUCAUUAAAUUCUCAUAGUUAAUGUUAUCAGUGAUUAAUGCUUCUGAUUGCUGCAAUUUUUAUCGGCAAAUGUUUUCUUUUUCGGUUACAGUCUGAGAUUACUUGUGUAUUUAUCAAAUAAGUUGAACACAGUGUUAUUUGGACUAAUUCAUUAAGCUUUUACUGUAGGUAUAAUGUUGGAUUUAGAGAAUAACAUGAAUUCAGAGAAUGACAUUGUGGAUGAUGAAGAGAUCAUCGACAACUUUGUUUCUCUUCAUAAGGAAUUGCUACUUGCUGAAGGAAAAUUGUUCAGAUUCUGGGCACCCCUGUAUUCCCUUGAUGAUCUAUGUUUUAAUUUUUAAAGUAUCUUUUGUGAAGAUGAUGAAUGGAGAUUUGAAAACUGAGUGAUUCCAUUCUUUCUAAUGUUUCUGCGGUGCUAGUGUGAAUUAGGAUUAGAUUUGUUUUGGCAAGAGUUAAGAUUCAACUCUACAAGUAGGACAAAUUUUAUACACUUAAUUCAGAAGGUUUGAAAUACAAGAAUUGACUGUCACACAUGCUAAAUGCUUUUAAACGUUUUAGCCUCGCUUUCUUUUACUUUGCUGAACCGCUCAAAUGAUUGGUGAUUACAGAAACAGAAGAAGCUUGCAUGCCUGAAAAGAUAUUAUUAAAGAGCAUGCUCUCCCUUUUCUUCCAGCAAAAACGCUCUGCAGGUUUAAUUCUGUUUGUAAAGGGUGGAACAAAUGGAUUUGCAGUGACUUUUUGGCUCACAUUCAAAACUAUGUACUUUAAAGACAUCUCCGGUCUUAUUUGUCAACAGCCGGGCUUAGACCCCCACUUCCUCUCAUUCAACCGAAAAGCUUAUGGAUAUCCAAGUCGCAAUCUCGAAUUCUUGCCUCGUAUUAUCAGUAUCAAAACCACUUGCUUUGCUGCCAACGUAAGGAGAGUGCCGCUACUACGUAUGCAAUCCUUUGACUGAGGAAUUUAAAUUGCUUCCCACGCCUAAGUUGAUCCAUGGACCUGACACAGUGAUAGCACUUGCACAUGAACCUACUACACUUGGUUUUGAUGCAAGUUAUGUGCUUGUUUGUGCUGUUGCUGUUGCUGUUGCUUUAGACGAUAUAUGAGCCAUCUUUUUCAAAACUUACUCUUCAAGUACAAACUCUAGGAGGACUUCUGAGACAAUGAGCACGGAGCUGGAUUUCUGGAAACAGCCAGCAGCAGGCUUUACAUAAAGGGGAAUGUCUAUUGGAAGCAUUAUGUCAUUCAGUUCUUGUUUUCAAUGUGAAGAAGGAGCAGCAUGGGAUUCUGCCACUUCCUGGCCCUGCAGGCAGCGGAUUUCAUGGUGCUUUGACACAGAGGCAUGAAGAAUUGUGUUUCAUGCUUCCUCAAACAACAAGAAGAUGGAGAAUGCAAAAUGGAUGCGUAUGGGAACCUGAAUAUGAUCCUCCAAUUUGUGAUUUCACUUAAACCUGAAGUUGUUGGGGGCAUAAAUGAUUCAGAUUGUCAUGUUUUAAAAUGAGUUAAUAGUGACAUGUUGAUAAUUGUGCUUCCGAAUAAGGUGAUAGCUUAUCACUCUAUUCCCUGCCUUACAUAGAUAGGUUAGUUCCUGUGGAGAAGCUAUCUUGCAUGAACCAGAUUGUCCCUGUCGUCUCCGAAUUGCACUAAUUGGAUUAAUUAUUGAAACCCAAAAGGGUAUUUUGAAUUUUGGAUUCUUCUUAAAAAUGAGGACUAUCUGGAUUCUAGUAACUUUUUUAUUUUUAUAUUCUAUUUGUUUUGAGGGUCCAUGAUGUUGAAAGAUGAAUGGUUCCUGAAAGUUCAAUGUCAAGACUGAGAAGAGUUCUGAAGCUUGGAAAUUGUACUUCUUGUUCAAAACCGAGAACUGUCACGGAAUUUUCUCAAUGCAGAAAUUCCUAUACCAAUGGCUUAUAUAUUGUAUGCAAUUUCCACAUUAAAGUGGUUGUGUUUAAUUAAACUACGGACAAGCCCAAACACGUUGCUAUUUCAAAUCAAGCAUAAUUAGGGUGGGUCAAUAAAAACAUUAUUAAAGAUUUGAAACCUGAAAAAAUCAAUAAUUUACUACUACGUAUUUUUCCUUGAGCUCUACCGAUUACUUACCGGAUGAAUUAAUCUCUUCCACCAUUAAAGGAAAGAAUGAGUUUAUGAUAUUUACUUGGGACUAACUAUAAUACAAACGAAAGCGUGUGUUACAGUUUAAAUAAUUUUGUUUCUGAAUAAAUUGGAGUUUUGUGAGAUUGUUGAAGGGGACGACUUGACCCUGUAGCAUCUGGGGCUAAAAUUAUUGUUAAAUGAUUUUUUUUUUGUAACAGUUUGGGUGCAGUUUGAUGAUUCCAUCGAAGCAGGGGAUGACAUUUGUUGAUAAACGUGGGUGUGGUUAAAAAUUAACCUUCAUUAAAAUGAUGGAUCUCCCACUUUAUUAAUAGGAACGUAAUUUUUGUUAAAUACUACUUUUGAUUGAAGUUUUCUGUUUUGCCCCAAAAAGAAAAAAAAAUGCCAAUCUGCUCUUUUUCUUUUUCUUUUUCUUUUUAAAGAUUAUAUACACAAUACAACUAAAACCCACUCCCAAAACAUUAGAGGACUCAAUCAAAGAUGCCAACUAACCCAAGCAGGGGUUAUUUGGUGGUGCAUAUUAAAGCUGAAAGCAACUACUCUUUGUCUGAGAUUGACUCGUGUUUAAUUUAAUUAUAAUUUUUGUCUAGCCUCUAAAACUAGAUAACGGGAUUCUCUUUACAAAUUUACGAAUAGAAUUAAUUAAACUAAGUGAGUUUAAUUAAGUGAGUUUGAGUAGUUCAGUUGAAUUAAUCGGCACGGUUAAGGAUUUGUAAAAAAAAAAAAAAAAUUGUUAUUAAAGUAAAGGCGCGUGUCAACAUGAUAAAAAUGGCACGUAUUUUACCUGAACUUUAUUGAUUAAUUAAAAUAUUUAUUUUUGGUAAAAAUUUUUAGCUUUUUAAUUUCUUAAAUACGAGUCUGCUUGAGACUUGUGACACACGGUUUACGUGCCCACGAAGAAAAUUCUAACCCUUGGAAUAUUGACCAUGGUUUGUCUGUUGUAUGCUGCCGACGCAAUGAAAAGGCGCCACGUGUGACGCAAAGUCAAGUCUUAUUGCAGUUCGUUAGUUUUCCGACUCAGCACCGCACUCUUCUUUUAUAAAAGCAGAGAUUGUUAUCACUUUUGGCCUUCCUUUGUUCUUUCUUUUUGCAAUCAAAGCUUGUUAAUUUCAGUUUCUGUGGUUUGAAAAGCUGCUGCUUUCACGCAUUUUCACUUUCUAGUUCUACUGAAGCGUAUCAUCUCGUUCUUCUUGGUAUGUUUUUCAAAAACCUUCAACUUCAGUUCUUUUUUUGUGUGUUCUGGCCUGUUUCUUCUUUGAAUCUUGGUCAUGGCUUGUGAGUGAUUUUGUUGCGAUUCUCUGUUGUUUUUUCUUUUCUUUUUUUUGGGGGGGGGGGUGUGUUCUGCGAUUUUCUUUCUUGAAUCUUGUGUGAAUGUGUUAUAUUGCUGAGAAACUACAAUUGAAACGUAAAGAAAAAGAAUUAGUGAGGUUCAAUUUUGUGAUUUCUGUGCAUUUCAAUAUUUUAAGCGAAAUUAAAUUCCAGAUAUCGAGAAUUUAAUUUGCUUUCCUUAAUUUGUCUGUUUCGUUUGUUUGUUUCUCGCCACUUAUCUUGGAUUCUUGCAUGCUAAGAAAUCUUCAAAAAUUAAGUUGCUUUUCAGGCAAUUAAAAAUAACAGUAACAAAGAUAACUGUGAAAAUCCCGGGUUUGCUAAUCUUCUCUUCUCAACUCAAAAGAAAAUUACUCUGUUUGGUAAUCAAGAUAGAAUUUCUCGGCAUUUUUAGUCAUCCAUGCUUCAUAGUUAUUCACUUUUUGAUGGGUCGGGGUUAGUCAAUGUGAUUCUUAGUUCUUGGUUUUAUCAAUUUUGUUGGCUAGUCAAGUGGGAUGAUUUCUUGAACCGUUCUCCGUAUUUGCUUGUUGGGUGUUUGUAGCCAUUAACUCUUCUGUUUUAUUUUUUUUAUUUAUUUAAAUUAGGUGCUAGAUGAUGGUAGGCUUGGGUGAUGGAUUGGAUCUUACAUUCCUGAAUCCCUACUGAAUUUCUCACCUAAAAUAUUUUGUAAUUGUAGGUAUAAUGGCGAAUUUAGGCAAUGACAACCUCGAGGAAGAAGUGAUGGAAGAAACGACGGAAGAAGAGAACGCUGACUACGUUCUUGACGAUUUUGAUAAUCUACCUGUGAACACAAGGUUCCUGGGCAGCACUUCUGAUGCGGUAUGUCUCAGUUGAUUUUUCGUUUUAGUUUUAUAUUGUUUAAUUUCAUGCGAUCAAUAAAUGAAUGAUAAGCCUUCAGGGGAUGUUUUACAUGAAAUAUGCUCUAUCCAUUAUAUCUAUUCCCUAUAGUCAUUAUGUAAGCAGCAUGACAUUGCAUGUCUGUGCUACCAUAAACUUUGAUGGUCUUUUUAAUGGUCUUGUGAUACCUCUUUAGAUAGGCCUGGUUUUUGCAAGAACUAAGAGUUAUUUUGUUAAAACUUGGAUUCACGAAAACAUAAUUCAGAAGGUUUGAAAUAGUAGAGAAUUGGCUGCUUUGCACGUAAUUUCCAUUUUAUUCUGAUACGAUUUCUGAUUUCAGCAUCCAUGGUUUGCAAAAUAUGCUAAUUUUCCUGGGCUCGUAAAGCUGAAGAAGAACAUUGGCCUAUCAGAUGUCACAAUGGAGCACGUUCUCCCUUUUCUUCCAGCGAAAUCGCUCUGCAGGUUCAAAGCUGUCUCCAAAGAGUGGAAUCGAUGGAUAAGCAGUCCUUUUCUGGCUCACUUACAAACUACACACUUCAAAGACAUAUCUGGUCUUAUUUGUCAAUCUCCUGGCUCAGACCCCUCAUUCAUCUCCUUCAAUCAGGAUGCUUAUGGCAUUCCCAGCCCUUCUUUUAAUUUCUUCCCCCAACUUGUUAAUAUCAGAACCACAUGCAAUGGGUUAGUUUGCUGCCAAAGCGUUUUUGAGGUUGGGAACUUUUUCUACUACAUUUGCAACCCUGUGACAAAGGAAUGGCAUGAGCUUCCUAAGCCAAACUUUUUCCAUGGGCCUGAAACAGCUGUAGCACUUGUCUUUGAACCUAGUGCACUCGGUUUUUCUGCACAUUAUGAGGUCGUCUGUGCUGUUCCCGUCGAUCAAACUGAUGUUUCAAUUAUCUUUUUUGAGAUUUACUCUUCAAGGUCUAAGUCUUGGAGGACUACUGAAACGAUCUGCUCGGAGCCAGAUGUUCUUAAACUGAGUAUAAACGGGUUCUACAUGAACGGGUUUGUCUAUUGGACAUCGUUAUCAGGUGCAAUUCUUGUUUUUGAUUUGAAGGAUGAGCAGUAUGGGACUCUGCCACUCCCUGCCGGCAGUGGACCGCACGGUGCUUUGACGCAGAUGCAUGGAGAGUUGUGUUACAUGCUCCCACAAAUACAAGAUGGAGAAUGCUUAAUUGGUGUGUAUGGGAACCUGGAUAUGAGCUUGAAGUGCGUAAUUCCAGUUGAGCAUGAAGUUCUUGGGGAAACAUUUUCAGAUUGUCGGGUUUUAACAUGUGUUAAUAGUGACAUCCUGAUAAUUCUGCUCCCCAAUAAGGUGAUAGCUUAUCAUGUGAAAGCACAGAAAAUGCAAGUUGUAAGCGAGGCGGGCACUGAAGGAUUUCAAAAUUGCCUGCCUUACAUAAACUCCCUGGUAGCUGUGGCGAAGUAGCAGUUUUGGAAGAUUUGUCCCUGUGGUAUCCUACUGCCAAUCUGAAUGGAUGAUGAUCAGAAGUUUUAUGUUGCAACUAAAAGAGUGGUGUUUGAAGUAGAGAUGGUCUCCUUUUGUUGCAAGUCAGUCAACAACCGUCUGGAAGCUUUCAAUUCUGAAUUUGUUCUUGUUUAGGCCUAGUGAUUCGAUGAUAUUUUGUUCUUUCAAAUUUCGAUGUCAGUACUGAAGAAAACUUUGGAUUCAGUUAAAGUGGGAUAUGGUCGAUUGAACCGUUUGGAAUUUUUCAUUCUUGAUGUUCUGUUCAGAUUCAUGCGGUUGUGAGCUAUUAUUGGGGAUCCUGUAAAAGGUUUCUCUUCAGUCUCAGAAAAAUCUGUAAAUUGAGUUUAGUGUUUAGUGGUUCAACAUUUUAACUGGCUGGAGUUAGAAGCUUCAAUUAGUCUCGAUGGUCCUUCUGAACUGUAGAGUGUAACCAUGUAAAUGAUUUCUUCAUUGGUAUGAUACAAUUGCAGUCAUGGGGCCGCAGUUGAAUUUUCAUUACGCUACUGUAUGAUUCUCUAGCGGUGGUUUUGGACAAACUUUAAGUUUUCUGUUAUAUUGAAAGAUAAAAUCCUUAUUGGAUGUGUUGCAGUAGGAGUUCUGUUGUUAUACCAUUUCGAAUGUAAUACCCAAAGCAUAUCUUGCCGAUCCAUUAUAUUAUUUCGAUGAGAGAACCAAAACGCAUCAGCAAAUUUGGUGUGUGAAAUAAAAAGGAUCUAUGAUCAUCGGCCAUGCCCCAGCUCUGCUGAACAUAUACUUCCACAACAUAUUGGUGCUAAAAGUAAGCUCUGCUGUUGAGCUAUAUAUAUUUUAGUUUCGAAAAUGAGCUGGGUUAUAAGACUGUUGUAUUUUUUCCACGAGUUUUCGGUUUUGUACGUUGGAGAUAGAUCAGUAAGAUCCUAUAGAAUAAGCUUUUAAUCGGUUUGUUUGAGGUUGUCUUUGUUACAAGCGUAAAGCCCAGCGUUCACAGCGGAGAGAACAUCUAUUUUUGAAGGUAUUGUUUGCCCACUCCUCUUUGAAAAAGCUAAACUGAUAGUAACAAUAAUUAAAGGUGGUGAUUGGACGCAAUGAGAUAGGAAAUGGUAAAAAGAAUAACCAACUUAAACUAAACUAAUGUUGGCAAAGACAGAAGUUUGACACAGAGAGAGAGAGAGAGAAAGAGGGAGAAAGAAGCCCUGCUUUCUCGCAAAGCCAGAGGACAAUGACAGGUUUCCAUUAGCUAAUCUAGAUUAGGAAUUUCACCAAGAAAAGCCCUUUCUCUCUCUUCCCCUUUUGAGAACCCUUCAAUCUUCUCCAUUCAAGGUAUUUUUUUUCCCUUUUUUUCCCUUUUUUUUGAAUUUUCUUCUCGGACAUCGGAAUUCUUUAGCCAUGCAUAUGCUGUAACAAAAUAAUCUUGUAAUUUUUGACAGUGUUUUAAUUUGGGACAUCAUUAUUAGUUUAACAGAUAUAAUUUAUUAAGGCAAGAGGAAAACGGUUUGGCAUUUGUUGAUGAUGGUGUUGCAGCAGGGAGAACAAAAAACAAUAAUAAUUUAUGUUAUCUAGCUUUGUCAUACUGGAAAAAAUUUUAUAUGUCUACAGGCUAGUUAAUUUCAUUCUACAUUACAUGAAUUGAUUGAUUAUUCAUUCAAUGGUUCACAGUCUUUGAAUCUAAUCAAUAUCUUCAGGGUCCUCGAAAAGACUUUUGACACUGGCAGUUAAUUAGCUAGGGAAGAGGUGGAGUUUCUUGGGGUGGAAGUUCUUUAGCUUGAACAAUGGCUAAAGGCAACAAUGUUACAGAAACAGAAAAUGAAGAAGGUUCUCCUCCUGCACCGCCAUCAUCAAAUUCCUCAGAUGCCACACCACCACCCUCAUCCACACCAUCCUCUUCUCCGCCACCCUCUUCACCACCUCCUGCUUCCCCUCCGCCUUCCUCUCCCCCGCCUUCAUCCCCACCACCCUCUAAAUCGCCUCCCUCAUCCCCCCCGCCAGCUACUUCUUCCUCACCGCCUCCUGCAUCCCCACCCACCUCAGAUAACAACAAGCCGGACCCUCCCAAAAACUCCCCACCCCCGCCCCCGCCUUCCUCACAAAGUUCUCCGACUCCGCCUUCUCCUUCAAACAACAAAAGCCCUUCCCCGCCAGUUUUCUCACCCCCUCCCCCUGCUAAGAAAUCAUCGCCGCCGCCUCCUCCGCUGAAGUACUCAUCCUCAACUCCAAAAUCAUCUUCAUCGUCCUCAAAAAGUAGCAAUGGCAGUAGCAGUGGGGAUGAUUACGUAACAUAUUCAGUUAUAGGAGCAGUUGGUGUGGGGAUAUUUCUCAUUGCCAUGAUCAUCAUUUGUGCUGUGAGGGCCAAUAAGAAGAAGAAGAAGAGACAUAAUCAACCAAUGCAUUACUAUGGAGAUCAUUCCAACCAUUUCAAAAAAGGUGAUAUUUAGCAACAGUCUUAUGCUCUAGUAGACAUAAAUGAAUUAAUGCACUGAAAUUGAUUAAUACAAGUUGUGAAUAAUUUUUUGAAUUGCAUGGGAUCAUUUGUGGCUGGUGAUUGAUUUUAGUUGGUAGAAUCUCACAGUAUCUCACCAAAUUGAAUUGUAUUUGAUUACAAUUAUGCAGUAAUUCUCAGUUGCACCCCAUUGCAUCACUUUAUGUGAAAAUAAAACGCAAUUUGGAUUGUCCAAUAGUAUUAAGACAGUUGGAAUUGCGCUGCUAGUUUAAUUUUUAGCUAAUUGUAUGCUGCAUUUUGUUAGAUUUCUAAGCUUUUUUUUUUCCUACAAUUUGAACGCAUAUAAAUCCUUGUGUGUUAUGCUUUCCGAAAGCAGAUUCAGCAAUUCCACACGAACAACCACCUCUCUGCUUCAUGCAUUAGUUUUACAAUUUUACCACCCAUGAUGUUGCUGCCUUUAGCAUUGUUGAUAUAUAAUUUGAUGUGUUAUACAUGUAGGUGGGGACCCAUAUUACAGCGGCGGACAUGCUCCAAACUGGCAUGGUCAUCCAGAGCAUCAAAAUUGGCACAGUCAUCCGCAGGGACCAGACCACACUGGAGGCAAUAUACCCCCGCCACCAGGUGGAAAUUGGCCGGGACCUCCUCCGCCUCCGCCAAUGAUGAGCAGCAGUGGUGAAAUGAGUUCCCAAUUCUCUGGCCCUGCCCGUCCACCCUUGCCGCCUCCCUCGCCAAACAUUGCUCUUGGAUUCAACAAAAGCACAUUUACGUACGAUGAGCUUGCGGCUGCUACUGGCGGGUUUGCUAAGUCCAAUCUUUUAGGUCAGGGAGGGUUUGGUUAUGUGCACAAAGGCGUGUUGCCUAAUGGAAAGGAGGUGGCAGUUAAGAGCCUCAAGACUGGUAGUGGGCAAGGAGAAAGAGAAUUUUCAGCUGAAGUUGAAAUCAUUAGCCGUGUCCAUCAUCGCCAUCUUGUGUCACUUGUUGGAUAUUGCAUUGCUGGCGGGCAGCGGAUGCUGGUCUAUGAAUUUGUUUCCAAUAAGACCUUGGAGUAUCAUCUCCAUGGUAAACCACACCUCUACUUAAAAAUUUCAUAACUGGUGAAAUAUAUUAAAGUCAAAAUUGUUACAAGUUUAUGAGAAGUUUAUUACGCUGAAGUCUGAUUAUCAUCAUAAUAAAUUUUCUUGGCUACAGGAGAAAAUCGACCGGUCAUGGACUUUGCUACUAGGGUUCGUAUUGCACUGGGAUCUGCAAAAGGGCUUGCAUAUCUACAUGAAGAUUGUAAGACAAUUUCUUAGCCUCUCUUUCUGCCUCCCUCCCCCUAUUCUAUUCUCAUUUGCCUAUUAUUUGCUCUUCAGGCCAUCCUCGGAUUAUUCAUCGUGACAUCAAAGCGGCUAAUAUUCUUAUUGACGACAACUUUGAGGCCAUGGUAUCCGUUUUUGCAUAUUUAUGAAAGUCUUAGUACGAGAAUAAGCAGAAUCUCUGCUGGCUGUUUGUUUGUGUUGGAAUGUUUCGUUAAGCGAUCUUCAAGCUAAUUGAUCAUGCCAUUAACCUUUUCUUACAGGUGGCUGACUUUGGAUUGGCCAAGCUGUCUAAUGACAAUCACACUCACGUCUCUACACGUGUAAUGGGAACAUUUGGGUAAGCAAACAAGAUUAGCAAUGACGACCAAACCAACAAUACUGUAGUUAUAUUUUAAGUUACAUGAAGAGAUGAAUUUAGCAUUACUUACAUAAUAUGGGUAAAUAUGCAAAGUCAAUUUGCAGAAAAACUUCGUAACUUCACAUUCAAUGCAGGAAUUGAACGCUGCAAGAUAUUGGAUUGGUGACUUAAAGUACAAGUAAUCAGGGAAUGCUAAUAUGAAACCACUAAUCUGGGAAUCCUUGUGAUGCAAAUGCAGGUAUUUGGCUCCGGAAUAUGCAUCAAGUGGCAAACUAACUGAGAAAUCCGAUGUUUUUUCAUUUGGUGUCAUGCUCUUGGAACUGAUAACCGGAAGGAGACCUGUUGAUAUGACUAUGAUGGAAGACAGCUUAGUAGAAUGGGUUAGUGCUUCCUCCACCCUUGCAAUAUAAAAUGAUGUCAUCCUAGUAAAUUUCAUACUUCUUCUCAUUUCUCCAGUUAUAAAAUUAAAAUCAUUUCUUGGGCACAUAAUAUACAGGCUAGACCACUUCUGGGUGCUGCAUUGGAGGAUGGCAUUUAUGAUGGGCUUGUUGAUCCGCGCUUGGAGCAUAACUACGUCCCUCACGAAAUGGCUCGCUUGGUUGCGUGUGGUGCUGCCAGCAUUCGUCACUCUGCCAGAAAGCGCCCAAAAAUGAGCCAGGUAUGAAAUGUUUCUCUCGUGUGUAUUCUAUUGGGGGAAAAAAGGGCUUAAUCUGUGUAUAAAUUGGCAUAACAUACACUGCUUGAUUCGUUGAAUAAUUCAGAAUGAUUGAUUAUGAAUUUGUGAUGGAAAACAGAUUGUGCGCGCACUAGAAGGAGAUUCUUCGCUGGACGACUUAAAUGAUGGAGUAAGGCCUGGUCAGAGCUCUGCCUUUAGUGCGUCGAAUACAAGCACGGAGUAUAGUGCAACUUCAUAUAAUGCUGACAUGAAGAAGUUCAGACAAUUAGCAUUGGGAAGCCAAGAUUUUGCCAGCAGCGAUUAUGGAGGAUCGAGUGAUUCCCGGGAGAUUCCCACCCCCAAACAAAGGAUAUGAGUGGCCAAACUAAAAGAAUUACAAGCUUGAAAUUGCUAACUGCAGCCAUUUGGUGAUCAUAUGCUUGGAAGUUGGAAGAAGAACGACUGUUUCACAUAAUAAUGGGGUUCAUUCUUUCUGUGUGGUUCUGUUAAUUUGGGAUUUUAGUUUUAUGUGCAGGAUUGACUUGGGUAAAAUUGAAAGGCGUGUAUGUAAAAUGUACCUGGAGCCAGUCUUUCAUUGAUUGAAUUUUCUUUAAUCUUAUGGGUUCUACAAUUUACUAUAUACAUUGACUUCCUCGCAAUUCAUUGGACUUUAGUCCCUUUUACUCGAGUGUGCUUGAGUUUGACCAGCAACAGGCCACCGCCCACCAGUAAAAAUGUGGAAACAAAAUCAAGAAAAUUGAAUGGCUUUCUCAAAAAUAAUAAUAAUAAUAAUAAUAAUAAUAAUAAAACGUGAGAUGCUUCUGAUUAUUGCAAUUGCUCGUUUAUGAACUUAAGAACUUCAAAAAAAAAAAAUUCAGCCAAAAUGGUAAUAGGCCAAUGCACCGUUCCAAAUAAACCAUUUAAAAUCUAGGUCUCCUAUGUUUUUCUUGGCCUCAUCAAAUUUACAUAUUUAUCAAAUCGUAAUUCAUCUUAUUUACUGAAAUUCAAUUAGUCUAAAUAAAUUGAAAAAUUGAGCGAUAUUAUAGUUACAAAUUAUUAUAUAAAUUAUUUUUGCAUAAACUGAUAUAGCAUUACAUAGUUAGUUGAAUGAAAAUAUAAAAUAAUAAAAAUAAAUCAUAUGAAAAAUAUGGUGCUUUCAUUCAACUAAUUAUUAUACCAUAUUAAUUUACACAAAAAUAAUUUUAUAUAUGUUUGGGGAUAAAAAAAAAAGAGAUUAAUUAAUCAAAAAAAUGAAAUUGUUGAAGGGAUUUGCUGAAAAGUUAUGUGCACUCUGCAUUUUUCUCCACCACUCAUCUUACUUGCAAAUUGCAAUGACCAAACUAUCCUCACCAAAGCCUAGACAUUUACUUGUGUUCAAAGGCCAUUUAAGGGAGACAAGUAUAAAAAAUUAUAAAGGAUAGCGAGCAAAAGAAGUAAACAAAAGGGGGGAGAAAAAAAGAGGGGAGUAGGGCGCUACCCGGAGGAUUUGGAUUUUUAUUGUUUUGUCUCUCUUGUCCAUGGCAUCUCUUUUCUCUCUUCCUCCCACUAAGAAAUUCAUUUUUUUACACUCAACUUUACUUUUCUGCAAAUAACUCAAAAAACUUUUGGUUUUAAGGCAAUGUUUAUUAAUCCACAUGAGUGGCGGCACAAGUUUUUCCCAAAGGCCCAUAAAUUGAUUUGAACGUCGGAGUAUUCAUGUCAGAAAAAUUCCAGCACCUUUGACUGUUUUUUGUUAUUUCAGGUAUUCGUAGGUUAAUCGUCAGUGGUCAUAGGGCAUCUUGAUGAUUGGUCAAUCAAUUCUCCACCAAAUAAAUUUAAUGUUGGUGCAGAAAUUUGAUAUUAAGUCGCUAAUCGACUAUAUCAGAUUUGGACAACAACAAUAUAAAAGUUUACCAUUGCAUCAUUUUUUAAAAAAAUAAGAAUAAUACAUAAAUACUGAGUUAGAGCAUAUAGUUUGUUCAUUGGGAGUGAUUUGAUGUAUGAUUUAUGAUUUAUUGAUAAGCGGUGCAAAAAUAGAAUGAAGACUACCUAACACACGGUAAUUUUUAAUUGGUAACACAAAAAACAACUAUGUAACUAUUAAUAAUAAUCUUUUAAUUAGGGUGUGCGUGGAACUACAGGAGGGAGAGGCGCCCCUGAACCGACAGCGUAUCAAACUGUUUGGCAUAAGAAGGGACAACACAGUAAUACGGCACGAAAAGGUCGAGGGGAGCGCGCACUAGUCACUCCGACUAUAAAAGGCUAUCGCAAAAGCUGUCCCUUUUCUCUUGUUUCAUCUAAAAAUUCACUCGACCCGAACUACCAAAACCCGAUCCAAAUUCAACAAAUUCCCAACUCGAUGCUAUUAUCUUCUUAAGAACCCUGGUCACCAAACCCUAGCUUGUAACCAGAACCCUAGUUGGCACCCGAUCUCCUCUGUAAACAUGGGAGACUACAACGAUGCAUUCAUGCGUAACCAAAACGCCGCCGUUCAGGCCCGUACUAAGGCCCAGAACCGCGCCAACGUCCUUCAGCUUAAGCUGGUUCGUUUUCCUUUACGAUUUUGUUACAUGGACUUUUUACACUGGUCGAGGGUUGUUUGGAUCUAUUAGUUUUAUCAUUUUGAUUUUUUUUCCUAAAGCUUUGUAUUAUGUUUGGAUGUUUUAUCCUGUAAUAAUUAUGGUUUUAGAGGUUUUGAUUCUUGGAUUCAACUUUUGCAAUUGGUAUCUUUUGUGUGUUUUUUUUAGUUGUUUUCUCUUCUUUUUUUAAUUUAUUUUUUUACUCCCUAGUGUCCGAUGUUAUUAGUAAUUCUUUAAGCAGUUAUUUAGAUUUGAUUGGAUUGCACUUAUGUAAUAUAAAAAAUGUUAGAUAUUUUUUUCUCUUUGUUAGCAUUCUCAAAGUGAUUGGCAAUGUAAGAAAGCCCUUUGAAGCUGUUUGUCUUAGUGUUUGAUUUUACUUUGGAAAGAAUUAUGAACUUGUGAUUUGAUGUAUCUUUGUGAGUACAACCACUAACAUGAGCUUCUAUUGUGUUCUGUGAUUUGUAUCUCAUUUCAUCAUUAGCAGAUGUGGUUGAAUAUGUUUUUCUAAUUUUGUUAAUUAUGCAGAUUGGGCAAAGCCAUCCUACCGGUUUAACAGCCAAUCUCUUGAAGCUCUUUGAGCCUCGAGCUCCGCUUGAGUAUAAACCACCUCCAGAGAAAAGAAAAUGCCCACCACUGACAGGUCUAAUGAAAUCUUUGGUGAUGGGUAUUUUUUAUUUUGAUGGCAGAUUAUGAUUUUGUUUACAUGUCGCUUAAAUUUUGUCCUUUCCAGGAAUGGCGCAGUUUGUUAGUCACUUUGCUGAACCUGGAGAUCCUCUGUAUGCUCCACCUGUAGAGAAGGCUGAGACUCCUGUAAGAUCUUUGCUUAGAUUAAGUGCUAAAUAAUAAGGGAUUCUUUUUCCAUUUUCAUGCAAAUUUAAUGCAUUGCUGUUUUGUGUCUGAUGUGACAUCUACUAUUGUUCCUACUUAUGUUUGUUGUUCUAUGUUUCCAUGCUAGCAUUAGUUUGAUAGUGUCAUUGAGAACAAUACCAUUCAAAUAUCUUUUCAACUUGUUAUGAGAAUUUCGAGUAAUUUGUUUAAAAAUGUUGCAAGUAUAUAAACCUACUUAUAGUGCUUGAAAAUAUAUAAUUGGUGAGUAGAUCAUUCGAAGCAAAUGUUUACUUUUCUAGUGAUUUAUCGGGGUAGUAUUGGCCACAUGAAAGUACGGCUACCGGUAUAUUGGUUAGAUGCGGUUAUCAUCUAGGAGGCCUUUUGUAAACCCCCCCCAAAAAAAAGUGUAUUAUUAUCUUGAUAGAGUUUUGAUGAUUCAGGUAGAAAGAAGGGCUAGAAUCCACAAGUUAAGACUUGAGAAGGGUGCAGAAAAGGCUGCUGAAGAACUUAAGAAAUGUAAUGCUACCUUUCUUCUCCUUUUAAAGUUACCUUUCUUCUCCUUUUAAAGUUGAAUGAUUCUUAAAUAUUUGCUCCUUUUGAAUAAUAAGUUCCUUUCCAUGCAGAUGAUCCUCAUAAUGACCCAAAUGUGUCAGGAGAUCCAUACAAGACACUGUUUGUUGCUAGGCUGGUAAGUAAUAAUGCUCUACUUCUUAUCUGUAUUCAUGUUUUUCAAUAUCUUUUGCAUUGAUUACUGAUUAAUGAAUUCUCUGCUUGCAGAGUUAUGAGACAACUGAGAGUAAAAUCAAAAGGGAGUUUGAGUCUUAUGGGCCAAUUAAACGGGUAGGUAUUUUGAGCACCCCAAGUGGGUUUGGUAAGAGGUUGUGUGCCACUUUAUCCUUUGCAUAUCUUUCUAGAAAGAUUUUAGUCUUAUAAAUUAAGUUUUUCCAAACUAUGUAUAAGAUGUCUUUAUUUUUAAUUUUUCUGUGUUUUAAAAUAAAAACUUAUUUUUCUUAGAACUAUAAAGUUUUAGCUGUUUAAGUUUGUUUGUGUUCUGCUCAUGUUUGUUUGGUUGGAUUCCUAUGACUGGCUUAAAACACAGAAAAAUCUGCUUUUUGAAUUAGUUUUGCAAUCCUAUCGCUAAGUUCAUUUUAAUAAUGGAUAGAAGUUACAAGAAUUUUGUGGAUAGUAAGUGUAGAUAGAGUUGCAUGGCUUUCCUGUUCAGCUUCUAUGCCAAUCACGAGAGGGAGAAUGUUGAACAUCUCCCUUUUUUAUCAUAUAUAUAUCACUGGAUGGUGGAGUGUGUAAGUUGGUAAUAUCAGCACAGGUAUCUUUGACUGCCUCUUUGCCUGUGAAACUGUGCGGUUUUGUUUCAUUGAUCCUUUGACAAUUUUACUUUGAUAUAGCUGGAUUUAGAAAUCAUCAUGGACAAGGGUUUCAACACUUUUUUUUUUCAUUCCUUUUGCCAAAGAAAAAUAUGUAAGAAAAAAGAAAAUGUACUCAUCCGCCUUUUAGGUAUUUUCUUUUAGUAUUAAGAUUCAUCAUAUUAAGACAACCCCUGGUAAGGGGGAGAUUACUCUUCUACCAAUGGAAUUUUUAUUCCCAUCUUCUUACAAACCAACACCAAAGAUGGUGCUUCAUCCUGCACAGCCAAGCUGAAAUACUUAAGUUGAGCAGAGCAGUGAUGCAUUGUGCCUUUUGGUCUUUAUUUCUUCGCGCUACAAAAGGAGACUACCGUCUGUUCUUUUUCCUGCCCUGGGUAAUAUAUGUCGGGAGUAUUAGCAUCUCUUUCUCUUUCAUUUGAAGAUAUAGUACAUGCUCUAUUUGCUACUAAAUUUUAUUUCUGGCUUUAAAGGCUAUCGAAAACGUAUCAGCAGUUGAGAAGAUGUUCUGGUAUUUUCUGUGUUACCUAUGUUAAUUUAUAACUAUUGUCAUUUAAAAAGAAAUAUCCCUGGUAAGGGGAGGUGUAGUCUGUUACACAAUUGGUAAAUUUGCUACGAUCAGUUAAUCUGCAACUCUUGCAAUGGUGGUGAUUCAUCUCGCGAUGGCAAGCCCUGUGAUGAAAAGGUGAGCACGGCUAAUGAGGCAUAGUGCCUGUCUGCCGUGCCAGUUAGGAUUUACUAUUUCUACCAUUUGUCACUUAGUUAGAGGAAGUACAGAGUGUUAGGUCAUGGAUUUUUAUUCCUACCAGAUUUAGUUCUUGUUAAUUGUGCUUCAUAUUUCUUAUUUUGCAUUGAGCUUUUCAGGUUCGGUUGGUUACUGAUAAAGAGACAAAUAAACCCAGAGGUUAUGCUUUCAUUGAGUACAUGCACACUCGGGAUAUGAAAGGUUUGCCUGAACAUCAUGUGUAUGUUAGGUUUGAUCUAAUAUAAUUCUGUGUUUUCUAAGCUUUGCUUCUCUAUAUCUCACAGCUGCAUAUAAACAAGCUGAUGGGAGGAAGCUUGAUGGCAGAAGGGUGCUUGUUGAUGUUGAGCGUGGUCGAACAGUCCCUAAUUGGCGUCCUCGCAGGCUAGGCGGUGGACUUGGAACAACCAGGGUUGGAGGGGAAGAAGUUAACCAGAGAUAUUCUGGAAGGUAAUUACCCCACUGCAAUUCUGCAGCACACCCUUUUAUGUGAUGAACACUAUAUCUCUUGUUGUUUUCUGAGAAAUGUAUCAUGUUUUUAUUCAAUUAUCUAUAACUUUCCAGGGAGCAAGAGCCUUCAAGAGGACCAUCUCGGUCUGCAGAGCCUAGGAUACGAGAGGAUCGACAUGGUGACCGGUACAUUUUCUUUGUCAUUCUGUGAUUCCUAUACCUCUACAUAAUUUUAGGUGGUAUUGAAUAUUUAUUGCUGGGCAAAAACUUUUUAGGGGAGGGGUAACACAUAAAGUUUGUGCCUUUUGGUUGAAGGGCUGGGAAACAUUGUUUUAGCUCAGACCUUUAUUUUUGGAAAAACUUACACCUUAAGCAUUUGGCUGCUAGGGAUAGGGAAAGAUCCCGUGAAAGGGGGAGGGAUAGAGAGAGGGAACGGGAGAAGUCCCUUGAGCUCUCCCAUGACAGACCAAGAGAUCGUGAUCAUAGAGAUGAUAGACACCAUAGAGAUCGUGACAGAACUAGAGACAGAGAGAGGGAGAGAGACCGAGGGCGUGAACGUGACCGUGACCGAACACGUGAUCGUGAUCGCGGCCGGGAUCGUGGUCGUGAUCAUGAACGUGAUAGAGAAAAAGACCGUGAUAAGGAGCGUGAUCGUGAUCGCACUCGUGAAAGGGAGAGGGACAGGGAUUAUGAAGUUGGUGACCCUGACCGUGACCGAGGGUAUUCCCGUGAUAGGGAUUCUGACUAUGAUCGUAUUGAUUCAAAACAUGAGCGAGACCGCCAUGGUGAAAGGGACUAUGAUCCUACUGACCAGGAAGAUGAUCGUGGAUGGUAUGACCACCAUGAGAACUAUGAGCAUCAUCGGGGUUAUGGUGAUCAUGACCGUUAUAAUCAGUACCAUGAUGAUGAUAAUGACCGCUAUGAUCAGAUGGAGGAAGAUGAUUACCGUUACGACCGUGCAACGUCUGAGUCACGUGACAAGGAGAGAACACGAGAUCUGGAUCGUGAAUAUUGACGCUUGGGUAGGUCAUUCUCUCUGUAUGAUGAUGACUGAGAA
rnacentral:lncRNA from 1 species